UUACUGAACACCACCGUGUGCCAAGUGCCCAGCACUGGGAGUAAUUUUUGUUUGGUCAUCGGCCACCAAAGAGUUGUAAGAGCCCAUACUUGGCUUCUGGGGGAAAUGACAUUUGCUCUGACAGACUUCCUGCUUGGCUUCCUUGGUGGCUCAGACAGUAAGGAGUCUGCCUGCAAUGCAGGAGACCUGGGUUUGAUCUCUGGGUCAGGAAGAUCGCCUGGAGAAGGGAAUGACAACCCACUCUGGUAUUCUUGCCUCGAGAAUUCCAUGAACAGAGGAGCCUGGUGGGCUACAGUCCACUGGGUCACAAAGAGUUGAACACGACUGAGUGACUAACACUUGCUGAAUGUAGGAGGCUCAGUGAGAGGUAACUUGGAGAAGAUAGGAGGGAAGAGAGUUCUAGGCAGAGGGAGUAAUGGGGUGAGUGGGACCCAGUUAGUAAUGAACUAUGUGAAGGUAUUUAUCCUAAGAGCAGUAGGAAGGGUUCUAUGCCAGGCUGGGGUCUUGGUCACUUGUGCAUCCCCAAAAGCAAAAAACGGACAGAGAAGGACCAGAGGAAGCUGGGAGACUAGUGAGGAAGGGCAAGGGAAAGGCAUGGCUGGUUGGGGUAGGGGCUGUGGCCAUGGAGAGAUCCUGGAGGUGAGGCUCGUCAAUGUGGUGAAGGCUGGGUCCUGGGCAGUGGGGGGAGAGGGAACAAGGACUCCUGGGUUCCCGCCUCUUCCGCUGGGAUGCAUGUAUGUGUGGGGAGCAGGGUGGUGGCCACGGAAAGAUGAGCUUGUUUCCUUGGAUGUGUAAGCUCCCUGAAGCAGGGAUGGGCCCUCACACUCCAUGUCUCUCCCAUGGGCCUUUAUGCCCAAGAGGAUUUCAGAAGACUUGUUCCUGGUUAAGGUGAGAAAAUUACCCCUGUUCCCCCAUCGGUCAGCAGACUUGACCAUGGACACACCCCCUUGGACUCCAAGGCUCUCUGCGUUGGGGGGUCGACCCUGUGCUCAUCUCUUGGAGGAGGCCCAGCCCCUCCUGGGGGCUCCCCGCUGGGACUGGUGUGCCGAACCUCCCUGUUCUUAACAGGACUGACUGGGGUGGGUCUCCCACCGCCUCACUGAGGCAGGCCCGGGUUUGGCCGCCCUCCCGGCUGUGUUGUAUCCAGUGGGAAACAUUUAGAAUAUGUGAACGUAAGUGGCUGCUGGAGAGAAAUCUACAAUUUCUCCUAUUAUUGGGAAAGAGCUAGGCUACCAUAGGCUACCAGAUGUUCUAUGUCAUAUAAUGGUAUGUUUUAUGGCAAAUGAAAAUAUAUAUAAAAUCUGUACCCAGAGAGCUCCCUACUUGCUAAAAGGGGGCUAGAUCCUUCUUUUUAUUCUUACCCUUUUCAGAUUUUUAGGCAAGAAUUCCCUUUCGGGCAAUGAACUUAUCUGCCAAGUUGGGGCCCAGGGGGAACCCUUAUGGGGGACUCGUAAACCCCGUCUUUUGAGGAAAUCUUGGGGCUGAGGCCACAUUCAGCCCCACGUGUUUACACAAUACUCUCUCUCAGCUCUGAGGGGCCAUUAGAGUUAAUUGGGUGAAUAAUCUGUGUUUAAAAAGUCCCCAAAUACGUAUUUACAUAAUCCACGCUUUGCCCAAGCCUGCUCAAGCCUAUUUGUGGGAUCUGGAGUGGAUCUGGGCUGAGCGUCUUCCUCCCGUGCUUCUAGAGCAGCUUCUCCUGUUGGUGACCAUCCUUCGGUGAGGACGGGGACAGGCAGGCUUCCCUCCUGGCUGAUGGCGUGGUGGGGCCUAUUAGUGUGGGGUCUUCCUGAGCCUUGGCCAAACACGUGUUUUGGAUCACUGUCCUGAGAGAUGCUGUAUGGGGAAAGAGGUUCCAUGGUUCAGUAAGUUUGGGAAGCACUGCAUCUUAUCUCCUCUCUUGGAGAUUCCCUGUGCUCAUUAUUCCACCAGGACUCCAAGAAGUCCUACAGUAGAGAGGUGGAUUUAGCUGUGUCUAAAUCCAGCUUCCUUCAGAUGUUAUCUGAUCUCAGCAUCUCCAUCCCUAACUCUGAUGAAUAGCCCAAAGAACUAGCCUUCUGUAGAAACACAUUGGGAAACAGCAAUCCACCCCCACUCCGUCCUUUUUUUUUUUUUUUUUUUAAAAACCAGGGGGCACUUCGAGUUCUGGCCACCCACCCAGACAUUGUGUGUACUGCCUUUGGUCGAGGCCCUUGUGUGCAGUCAUGUUGGCUGUGCACACACAACCCCCAAGAAUGCUUUUCACAUGACCACAGCCUUGCUGGUUCUUGGAACAGGAAAGACUCCAGGCAUUAGAGGCAGACCCAGGGUGUUGCAUGGAGACACGGCAUUCUCAGUUAGGGAGCCCUUACAGCCUGCCCACUCCUGUAGUUCUGUGCCCCGUUAGUUGCUGGCAUCCUUUCUAUAACAUUGUCUGUAUGGGUCACUCCAGCCACAGGAAUUCUCUGGGCUGGUUUGGGCACCAGGAAGGAUGAAUUCAGAUGCACUCAGGCCAAGCCUGCUUCCAAUAAAAGCUGAGCACUCACCCUCGGGAGUAGCCCUGCUUAUCUGUCUUCAUGAGGUUCUCAGUCUUGGCUGCACAUGAGAAUCACCUGGAGAGAUUAAAAAAAAAAAAAAAUCCUGAUGUUGGGUCAGAACUCUGAUUUGUUAAAUCAGAAUCUGGGUGGGUAAGAAACCUGGCUCAAAUAAAUGGUCAAGCUUCCAGGUGAUUCCAAUGUGGCUCCAUGAGGAGGUGGAGCGCAGCCACACUGGAGCUUUGUCAGGAGAGCUGGCGGGGUAGGAAGGGGAGCAGAAGUUCACGGCGCUACUCCGGGCUCAACCACGACUGCAUGAAGGACCAGACCGCCCACCUUCUCCAGUCCUGCCUGGGCAGCCCUCUGCAGUGUGGCAAGUCCCUGGGUGAGGAAGAAGAAGCGUCCUGCCGUGUUUACCCUAGGGACGCCUUUGUUGGGUGGUCCUGAGAAGGAUGACGGCCAACAUUACCAAGCAGGGUGUCUGCUGUGGGCCAGGUACUGUAAGGAGCUGUCCAAAAUGGGAAUGGUUUUCACGGCACAGUCAUUUUUGGAUAAGAAAGUCUGAAAUGAGAGAAUUCUGAACGCAGAACAAAGCAGAAGAGCCUGCCACAACAGUGCAUGCUGCUGCUCCAGACCACCUUGUGCUUCAUGAAGGGAUUUGCGUGAUGCGUUGGAAGACUGCUCUGGGCGAGGCGGAGGAGGAGGAUGGGAGUCAUACCUGUGCGGGGUUGCAUACCCAGGAUGGAUGUACAUCUUGCAGAAGACCUGGCCUGAGGAAAGGCCCAUCACAGGGCACAGAGGAAGAGAGUUCUGGUGCAGGACCCACCUCCUCUGCCGUCACUACCUGUCCAUCAGUGAUGAUGCUCUUAGAGAUCACAGGCUUGCUUCACCACUGACCCCAGGAUUCCCUCCAGCAAACAAACGUCCACCCUGGCAGUCAUAGGUCCUGCCUCCCACAUCUUUGUUUCUCCUCCUGGCCAUGGGGUAGGACUGGGUUUCACUCUCCCCUGAUGUUCAGUGUGGCCAUGUAAUUCGUCUUAUUUUCUCUUUCCCUCUGGCACAGAAGUCCAGAGAAUAUCUAAUCUGUCUUCUUGGAACCCAGAGUGAAGACGGCAGGGCAGAAACCCCAGCCGACCUGCAGUGGGUGUGUUGUGUAGGCUUGAGGCUGUUUGUUAUUGCAGCAUCACCGAGCCCAUCCUGAUGGUCUAAGUGAGGGAAAAUUC
ensembl:lncRNA